UCAGAGUCAAGUCAAACCUCCCCGAAUUCCAACGAUGGAAUAAAAACUAGUGCGUCGUGACCAAAAGUCUAACUGGUGUUUGCUGUAACGUCUAACGAAGACAAAAUGGGAUUCCUCUCAGCACUUGCAGUUGCAGCCGGCGCAGCAGGCGUGGCAGGAGGCGUUGUGUUUUUUGCGCCUGUUGCUCUUGCGACCAUUGGUUACACCGCCGUGGUGGUCGUGACAACAACAGGUACAGCUGGUGCAGGUGCUGCGGCGGCUUCUGCCCCUGUCGCAGGCUUGGUGAUGGCGCUCAUCUGAGUCCUUCAAGACCACUAAAAAUAUGUCGGCCAUUUCAUUUAUUAGGCCACAGUUCAUUACAAUUUAAAACUGAUGAGUUCAUCUUGCAAUAGUGUGAAUGGAAAUGUUGCAGAUGGUUUUGUUGCGGUGCAAGUUUGAAGAAAAUACAACUGAAAUGUUA